AUGAUUUCUAAAUGGGAAUUGUUGAUUCGUUGGUUUAAGGCGAAUCGAGACGGCGAUUUGUGGUAGUCUUGGUUAUUUUGAGUUAUGCACACGGUUAUUGGGUUCAGCUGUGAAUAGUCGAUGGGACUCUGCUGGAGCUGGAGCAGGGGAAUUGAUAUAAGGAGAGUUUGUAGGCUGGGGGAUCCAACCAAU